rnacentral:rRNA from 1 species
CCUACGGGAGGCAGCAGUGGGGAAUAUUGCACAAUGGGGGAAACCCUGAUGCAGCGACGCCGCGUGAGUGAAGAAGUACUUCUGUAUGUAAAGCUCUAUCAGUAGGGAAGAAAAUGACGGUACCUGACUAGGAAGCCCCGGCCAACUACGUGCCAGCAGCCGCGGUAAUACGUAGGGGGCAAGCGUUAUCCGGAUUUACUGGGGGUAAAGGGAGAGUAGACGGUGUUGCAAGUCAGAAGUGAAAGCCCGGGGCUCAACUCCGGGACUGCUUUUGAAAAUGUGUGACUGGAGUGCAUGAGAGGUAAGCGGAAUUCCUGGUGUAGCGGUGAAAUGCGUAGAUACCAGGAGGAACACCAGUGGCGAAGGCGGCUUACUGGACUGUAACUGACGUUGAGGCUCGAAAGCGUGGGGAGCAAACAGGAUUAGAUACCCUUGUAGUC